rnacentral:rRNA from 1 species
GUGGGGAAUAUUGGACAAUGGGCGAAAGCCUGAUCCAGCCAUGCCGCGUGUGUGAAGAAGGUCUUCGGAUUGUAUAGCACUUUAAGUUGGGAGGAAGGGCAGUAAGUUAAUACCUUGCUGUUUUGACGUUACCAACAGAAUAAGCACCGGCUAACUUCGUGCCAGCAGCCGCGGUAAUACGAAGGGUGCAAGCGUUAAUCGGAAUUACUGGGCGUAAAGCGCGCGUAGGUGGUGCAGCAAGUUGAAGGUGAAAUCCCCGGGCUCAACCUGGGAACUGCCUCCAAAACUACUGAGCUAGAGUACGGUAGAGGGUAGUGGAAUUUCCUGUGUAGCGGUGAAAUGCGUAGAUAUAGGAAGGAACACCAGUGGCGAAGGCGACUACCUGGACUGAUACUGACACUGAGGUGCGAAAGCGUGGGGAGCAAACAGGAUUAGAAACCCGAGUAGUCC